rnacentral:rRNA from 1 species
CAUUGUUGGAGAGUUUGAUCCUGGCUCAGGACGAACGCUGGCGGCGUGCUUAACACAUGCAAGUCGAACGAUGAAGCCUUCGGGUGGAUUAGUGGCGAACGGGUGAGUAACACGUGGGCAAUCUGCCCUGUACUUUGGGAUAAGCCUUGGAAACGAGGUCUAAUACCGGAUAUGACUGCGCAUCGCAUGGUGUGUGGUGGAAAGCUCCGGCGGUACAGGAUGAGCCCGCGGCCUAUCAGCUUGUUGGUGGGGUAAUGGCCUACCAAGGCGACGACGGGUAGCCGGCCUGAGAGGGUGACCGGCCACACUGGGACUGAGACACG